rnacentral:tRNA from 1 species
AGCAGCGUGGCUCAGUGGAAAGAGCCCCGGCUUGGGGAGUCAGAGGUCAUGGGUUCAAAUCCCGACUCUGCCC